UACAGAGGGGGCAAGCGUUGUUCGGAAUUACUGGGCGUAAAGCGUGCGCAGGCGAUUAUGUAAGACAGAUGUGAAAUCCCCGGGCUCAACCUGGGAACUGCAUUUGUGACUGCAUAGCUAGAGUACGGUAGAGGGGGAUGGAAUUCCGCGUGUAGCAGUGAAAUGCGUAGAUAUGCGGAGGAACACCGAUGGCGAAGGCAAUCCCCUGGACCUGUACUGACGCUCAUGCACGAAAGCGUGGGGAGCAAACAGG
rnacentral:rRNA from 1 species